UUUUUCAAAGAAAGGGUGGCUUUUUCGUCGAUCUCUUUGUGAGAGUAUCAAAUCAGGCGGCGGUAAAUACGUAGAAGCAACUAGGCGUACUACGGCGUGUACCGGACAGCGUUGGCGUGCCGCUCUGCUAGCAGCGGAGAGCCAGAUGAGGAUGCCCGUGAUAUGAGAAAAGCUCUGUCCAGAGAUAUGGAGACGAAAUCAGUUGUACCUCACCCUGUGACACCGGAAGACAUUGAGUAACUCGUCCUGCAGCUGGCUCCUCGGUUUUGGCGGCAGCCUGCACAUAGCAGCCCAGCUCUCCAGCAGCCUGACGGACCGACCGUGUGUCUGUUCCACGCCGGACUGGCGAGCGUGGCUCUGGGUAGGACAGCCGAGGUGCCCCAGGGCCGGGCCCCGAGCCCCGGUGCGGAG